GGCUGCAGUCGAGGAUCUUCGGCAAUGGGCGCAAGCCUGACCGAGCGACGCCGCGUGUGCGAUGAAGGCCCUUGGGUUGUAAAAGCACUGUCGAGGGGGAGGAAAGCCGCAAGGUCUGACCUAUCCCUGGAGGAAGCACGGGCUAAGUUCGUGCCAGCAGCCGCGGUAAGACGAACCGUGCGAACGUUAUUCGGAAUCACUGGGCUUAAAGCGCGUGUAGGCGGAUGGGAACGUCGGCUACUGAAAGCCCCCGGCUCAACCGGGGAAGUGGUGCCGAAACGACCUGUCUGGAGGGACGUAGGGGGAUCUGGAACUUCCGGUGGAGCGGUGAAAUGCGUUGAGAUCGGAAGGAACGCCCGUGGCGAAAGCGAGGUCCUGGCCGUCUGCUGACGCUGAGACGCGAAAGCUAGGGGAGCAAACGGGAUUAGAUACCCCGGUAGUCCUAGCCGUAAACGAUGGGCACUGGGUAGGGGGCUCGCCGAUGGGCUCUCUGCCGUAGCGAAAGCGUGAAGUGCCCCGCCUGGGGAGUAUGGUCGCAAGGCUGAAACUCAAAGGAAUUGACGGGGGCUCACACA
rnacentral:rRNA from 1 species